GUUACUAAAGACCCUACACACGGUUACUUAGUGUCAUCACAUGUAUUGAAGCUUGAGAAAGUGCGUACAUGUAGUAAUCUUCAAUGGUUGUGUAUUAUAGGUGACAGAGGUCUGGACAGUUCUGUUAAGGAUAAUAAUCUAGAAUAAAACAUAGAGAGAUUACUACACCUGGAGACUCGGUUUCACUGCAAGAUUCCAGGCUUCCAAAUGAGAUGAGUGCGGCUGCUGCAUGAAUUCACACGUGUGCAGAUAUCCCCACCUCAUCCUCCUGUUGAGGUGCUAUGGACUGUAAAGAAUUAUACACAGGAGCCACUCUAAAGGGGCAAGGAGAAGGGAAAAAGAAGCAGUCUGAAACAUGCCGAAAAAGAAGGAUGAUUUCAGACUAC